UAGUCAUAUGCUUGUCUCAAAGACUAAGCCAUGCAUGUCUAAGUANANUAUAGAAACUGCGAAUGGCUCAUUAAAACAGUUAUAGUCCACUUGAUAUUGAACCUUACAUGGAUAACCGUAGUAAUUCUAGAGCUAAUACAUGCGUUACGCCCAACUUUUGGACGGGCAGUAUUUAGAUAACUAAAUCAAUAUUCCUUGCGUCUAUUUGAUGAUUCAGUCUAACUUAUCGGAUCGCUGGCUUUUUGCUGCGAUAGAUCAUUCGAGUUUCUGCCCCAUCAGCUUGAUGGUAGUGUAUUGGACUACCAUGGCUUUUACGGGUAACGGGGGAUUAGGGUUCGACACCGGAGAGGGAGCCUGAGAAACGGCUACCACUUCUACGGAAGGCAGCAGGCGCGUAAAUUACCCAAUCCUAACUCAGGGAGGUAGUGACAAGAAAUAAUAGACCGGAUUUAUCCGGGUUUGCAAUGAGCCUAAUUUACACAACUUAGUGAGGAUCCAUUG
rnacentral:rRNA from 1 species